rnacentral:rRNA from 1 species
UUUCGCCUGUUUAUCAAAAACAUGUCUGUGUGAAAAUAAUAUAAAGUCUGGCCUGCCCACUGAGUAUAUUAAAGGGCCGCGGUAAUUUGACCGUGCGAAGGUAGCAUAAUCAAUAGUCUCUUAAUUAGAGGCUGGAAUGAAAGGUCGUACAAGAAGCAGUCUGUCUUUUUUAUAAAAAUUGAAUUUAACUUUUAAGUGAAAAGGCUUAGAUUUUCUGGGGGGACGAUAAGACCCUAUAAAACUUUACAUGGAUUGAUUAAUUUUUGAAUUUUAAGUAUAAAUGGGAAUUAUUUUUAUCUUGUUACGUUGGGGCGACGAAAAUAUAAGUUGUAACUGUUUGUUGGUUAAAAUAAAAAUAUUUAGGAAAGUUGAUCCUUUACUAUGGAUUAUAAGAAUAAGUUACUUUAGGGAUAACAGCGUAAUUUUUUCUGAGAGUUCUUAUCGACGAAAGUAGUUGCGACCUCGAUGUUGAAUUAAAGUUUCAUCAAGGUGUAGAAGCUUUGAUUUGUAGGUCUGUUCGACCUUUUAAACUUUACAUGAUUUGAGUUCAAACCGGUGUGAGCCAGGUGGGUUUCUAUCUAA